rnacentral:misc_RNA from 1 species
CCAAUAGCGUAUAUUAAAGUUGUUGCAGUUAAAAAGCUCGUAGUUGAAUUUCGGGAUCAGUAGGUCGGUCGUGCCACUGGUAUGAACUGGUCUCACUGGUUCCUCCCUCUUGACGAACUGCAAUGCUAUUAAUUUAGUGUUGUAGGAAAUCAGGACUGUUACUUUGAAAAAAUUAGAGUGUUUAAAGCAGGCUUUGGCUUGAAUACAUUAGCAUGGAAUAAUGAAAUAGGACGUUCGAUCCUAUUUUGUUUGCUUCUAGGAUUGACGUAAUGAUUAAUAGGGACAGUUGGGGGCAUUAGUAUUCAAUUGUCAGAGGUGAAAUUCUUGGCUUUAUUGAAGACUAACUACUGCGAAAGCAUUUGCCAAGGAUGUUUUCAUUAAUCAGUGAACGAAAGUUAGGGGAUCGAAGACGAUCAGAUACCGUCGUAGUCUUAACCAUAAACUAUGCCGACUAGGGAUCGGAUGAUGUUAAUUUUUUAAUGACUCAUUCGGCGCCUUACG